UGUUCAAUCAUCACAACAAAUCCUGCAUCUUCUACCUUUGUUCAAUCCCUCAAUCAUCGUUUUUCAACCGCAACUUUCUGAUAUUGAAAUUCUUGAAUCAAUGUGUGGAAAAAUUGAAUGGUGGCGCUUUGCCGUCUGCCGUUUCGUCAAGCAUACAAGUCCUAUCAAAGGUAUUCAGUCUUGUCGUCAAGCAAACAAAUUGUGCCUCCAACAAACAAACCCUAUCCAAGGGUGAAAAAUGUUGAAUCUUAAAAGUGUGCCCAUGUGUUCCUCCUCAACCAUUGUCUACCUGUCAGAAAAUCUAAAUAUCAUGAUUUAUUUUAGUAUUUUUUAGCAUAGAAAAAUUGUCAAAUUCCUUUUCGGAAUCGGAAACUUUCUUCUCAAGAUAUUUGAAAAUUCUUUUAUUUGAAGCCGAGCGUUGAAAUGCUUCCUUAGCUUCAUGAUGCAAAGUAUCAAAGGCAUGCUUUAAUUCAAAAUAAGACAUAACAUCAACAUUAGUAUAUUUCUCAUGGCUUACAGUCUUUUUCUUCUUUUGAUGUGCCAUGAGACAUAGGUUGACGGUUUCCUCUUCAUCGCUUGAGCUUUCUUUGCUAGAAGAGUCACUAUCACUUUCCCAAGCGAUAUAGGCUCUUCUCCCUUUUGGAUGCUUCUUUUGAGGUUUGCUCUUUGCCUUAUCUUUCUUAAGCGAAGGGCAAUCCGGUUUGUAGUGACCCAGUUUACCACAAUUGUAACAAGACCCUCUAGGUUUAGUCUUCUUAUACUCAUCUUGCUUGUUAGG